rnacentral:rRNA from 1 species
UACAGAGGGGGCAAGCGUUGUUCGGAAUUACUGGGCGUAAAGGGCGCGUAGGCGGCCACCUAAGUCAGACGUGAAAUCCCUCGGCUCAACCGGGGAACUGCGUCUGAUACUGAGUGGCUUGAAUUCGGGAGAGGAAUGCGGAAUUCCCGGUGUAGAGGUGAAAUUCGUAGAUAUCGGGAGGAACACCAGUGGCGAAGGCGGCGACCUGGACAGAUAUUGACGCUGAGGUGCGAAAGCGUGGGGAGCAAACAGG